rnacentral:rRNA from 1 species
UGGCGAACGGGUGAGUAACGCGUGAGGAACCUGCCUCAAAGAGGGGGACAACAGUUGGAAACGACUGCUAAUACCGCGUAAGCCCACGGGUCGGCAUCGACCUGAGGGAAAAGGAGCAAUCCGCUUUGAGAUGGCCUCGCGUCCGAUUAGCUAGUUGGUGAGGUAACGGCCCACCAAGGCGACGAUCGGUAGCCGGACUGAGAGGUUGAACGGCCACAUUGGGACUGAGACACGGCCCAG